GUAAACGUAAAUCUGACUUAACUGCACAUUUGAAGCUAGAGUAUAACGACCUCCUAUCAGCUGUGAUCAGCCUCUGUAUAAUCGUAUUUAAAAAUAUGCCUGUGUCUCCAACACAUGAUAUAUCCAUAUAUGACCCAUUCCAUAGAAAUAAAUGUUUCACAUAAGAUCCCAAUUUGGGCAUUUAGUAUGUGUCUUGACAUUUGGUAACAUUGAUAGGGGUAUCUGGAAGUAGGCAAUGUCAUUAAUUCCUGGUGUGCCUGUUCUCCAGUUCCAGUGAACCUGAUGUCUGAAUCUGAUGUGCCUGGUGUCCAGUUACAGUGUGCCUGGUGUCCAGUUACAGUGUGCCUGAUGUCCAGUUACGGUGUGCCUGGUGUCCAGUUACAGUGUGCCUGGUGUCCAGUUACAGUGUGCCUGAUGUCCAGUUACGGUGUGCCUGGUGUCCAGUUACGGUGUGCCUGGUGUCCAGUUCCAGUCUGCCUGGUGUCCAGUUACGGUGUGCCUGGUGUCCAGUUACAGUGUGCCUGGUGUCCAGUUACAGUGUGCCUGAUGUCCAGUUACGGUGUGCCUGGUGUCCAGUUACGGUGUGCCUGGUGUCCAGUUCCAGUCUGCCUGGUGUCCAGUUACGGUGUGCCUGGUGUCCAGUUACGGUGUGCCUGAUGUCAAGUUAUGGUGUGCCUGAUGUCCAGUUACGGUAUGCCUGGUGUCUAGUUACGGUGUAGAUGCAAGAUUUCCUAAUGUUUCAAAGUAUGAACUGUUAGUGAAAUGACAUGAAAUCAAGUUAAAAUUAUUACAAUUCAUUUAACUUAUUAUCCAUGGUGGUCCAAUGAUUAAGACACUUUAUUAUUACACUAAUGUUUUAAAGUUCAAUUUCCACGUAAUAUGUAUCAAUUCUAAGAUACGUGUAUACAAUGUUUACAUGUUCUCAGUAACUUUCCACUACCUCGUGACCUUAACCUUCAUGUGCAAUGUCAAAGCUCACAGGUCAUGUCGUGACCUCUUCAAAGCUCAUGCAUUUUGAAGCACAUGCUCACCAGUGUGUAUUGGACCUCCAUGCUGCCAGGUUCUCACCUUACUGCCUGCUAUAUUUGAACUAUGUAAAGACACAUUUUUCUGAACCUCAUCAACUUGUUGACGCUUCAACUUGUCACCAACUCGUCACCAACUUGUCAUCAACUGUCACCAAUUGUUCCUAAAGCCAUGGCUCUAACUAUAAACUGUACUACGUUAAACGUCACGAAAUAAACCCUGUUGAUGCGA